UACGUAGGGGGCGAGCGUUGUCCGGAUUUAUUGGGCGUAAAACGCUUGUAGGCGGCCACGCCGCGUCGGACGUGAAAUCUCCCGGCUUAACUGGGAGGGGUCGUGCGAUACGGGCGGGCUCGAGGCAGGUAGGGGGAAGCGGAAUUCCCAGUAUAAUGGUGGAAUGCAUAGAUAUCGAAAGGAACACCAGUGGCGAAGGCGGCUUCCUGGACCUGAUCUGACGCUGAGGAGCGAAAGCGUGGGGAGCGAUCCGG
rnacentral:rRNA from 1 species